rnacentral:rRNA from 1 species
AAAUUGAAGAGUUUGAUCAUGGCUCAGAUUGAACGCUGGCGGCAGGCCUAACACAUGCAAGUCGAACGGUAGCACAGAGAGCUUGCUCUCGGGUGACGAGUGGCGGACGGGUGAGUAAUGUCUGGGAAACUGCCUGAUGGAGGGGGAUAACUACUGGAAACGGUAGCUAAUACCGCAUAAUGUCGCAAGACCAAAGAGGGGGACCUUCGGGCCUCUUGCCAUCAGAUGUGCCCAGAUGGGAUUAGCUAGUAGGUGGGGUAACGGCUCACCUAGGCGACGAUCCCUAGCUGGUCUGAGAGGAUGACCAGCCACACUGGAACUGAGACACGGUCCAGACUCCUACGGGAGGCAGCAGUGGGGAAUAUUGCACAAUGGGCGCAAGCCUGAUGCAGCCAUGCCGCGUGUAUGAAGAAGGCCUUCGGGUUGUAAAGUACUUUCAGCGGGGAGGAAGGUGUUGUGGUUAAUAACCGCAGCAAUUGACGUUACCCGCAGAAGAAGCACCGGCUAACUCCGUGCCAGCAGCCGCGGUAAUACGGAGGGUGCAAGCGUUAAUCGGAAUUACUGGGCGUAAAGCGCACGCAGGCGGUCUGUCAAGUCGGAUGUGAAAUCCCCGGGCUCAACCUGGGAACUGCAUUCGAAACUGGCAGGCUAGAGUCUUGUAGAGGGGGGUAGAAUUCCAGGUGUAGCGGUGAAAUGCGUAGAGAUCUGGAGGAAUACCGGUGGCGAAGGCGGCCCCCUGGACAAAGACUGACGCUCAGGUGCGAAAGCGUGGGGAGCAAACAGGAUUAGAUACCCUGGUAGUCCACGCCGUAAACGAUGUCGACUUGGAGGUUGUUCCCUUGAGGAGUGGCUUCCGGAGCUAACGCGUUAAGUCGACCGCCUGGGGAGUACGGCCGCAAGGUUAAAACUCAAAUGAAUUGACGGGGGCCCGCACAAGCGGUGGAGCAUGUGGUUUAAUUCGAUGCAACGCGAAGAACCUUACCUACUCUUGACAUCCAGAGAACUUAGCAGAGAUGCUUUGGUGCCUUCGGGAACUCUGAGACAGGUGCUGCAUGGCUGUCGUCAGCUCGUGUUGUGAAAUGUUGGGUUAAGUCCCGCAACGAGCGCAACCCUUAUCCUUUGUUGCCAGCGGUCCGGCCGGGAACUCAAAGGAGACUGCCAGUGAUAAACUGGAGGAAGGUGGGGAUGACGUCAAGUCAUCAUGGCCCUUACGAGUAGGGCUACACACGUGCUACAAUGGCGCAUACAAAGAGAAGCGACCUCGCGAGAGCAAGCGGACCUCAUAAAGUGCGUCGUAGUCCGGAUUGGAGUCUGCAACUCGACUCCAUGAAGUCGGAAUCGCUAGUAAUCGUAGAUCAGAAUGCUACGGUGAAUACGUUCCCGGGCCUUGUACACACCGCCCGUCACACCAUGGGAGUGGGUUGCAAAAGAAGUAGGUAGCUUAACCUUCGGGAGGGCGCUUACCACUUUGUGAUUCAUGACUGGGGUGAAGUCGUAACAAGGUAACCGUAGGGGAACCUGCGGUUGGAUCACCUCCUUACCUUAAAGAA